rnacentral:lncRNA from 10 species
AGUCUGUUUUGUCAGUCUUAAGAUCUGUUUUAAUGGUUAAUGCAGGUCAGCUGUGUCGGAAUUUCAAAGGGCUGAGAGUAUAAUGAGGUAUGCCCACUUCCAUGAAGAUCUGAAAUAGAUUUUCAGGUUUACUUUGGAAAGCCUUUUGCCAAGGGCUGGUGGGGGAGGGUGGUCCAUCAGUCAGUUGCGGGGCUUAGAAUUUUAUUUUUGGUUUAUACCAGGGAUAAGGGAAUGGGCAGUUCUGACCUUUCAUCCUUACGUUGUGUGUCCAAAGAGGAAAUAAAGCCCCUUUUUUCAGCGUGAUUUGCAGAAAUCCAGGUAGGUCCUCCAGUUGGUGCAGCGUGGGUCCUGCACACAUCCAGACCAUCGCCAUCUCCAGGGGGCAGCUAUAGCAGCUGACCCAAGUCACAGUGAUGUGGCCAGUCUCAGGGCCAUGACAGGUUAAGGAGGCUGAGCCCCCCAGCUUCAGUGA